CUUUACUAUAUUUUUUUACAGACAUACCCAUUAAAAAGUCUGACUAUUUGUGUGGUGAACCCCACUUCUUAUCGGUACAGUGGUACAACCCACUUGUAUAAUUUAGUGGUCUACCCCACUGAAUAUUGUGUGCCGCCCUUACAUAUCAACUACGUUGACUUUGGUGAUCCCCAUUUAUAAAUUUUACCAAACACACUUGGGUGAACCCCAUUUAAUACCCUGUCUUACAUUUAUU